rnacentral:misc_RNA from 1 species
AAGUCGUAACAAGGUCUCCGUUGGUGAACCAGCGGAGGGAUCAUUACCGAGUUUACAACUCCCAAACCCCUGUGAACAUACUUAUACGUUGCCUCGGCGGAUCAGCCCGCGCCCCGUAAAACGGGACGGCCCGCCCGAGGACCCCUAAACUCUGUUUUUAGUGGAACUUCUGAGUAAAACAAACAAAUAAAUCAAAACUUUCAACAACGGAUCUCUUGGUUCUG